rnacentral:rRNA from 1 species
CGGUAGCACAGAGAGCUUGCUCUCGGGUGACGAGUGGCGGACGGGUGAGUAAUGUCUGGGAAACUGCCCGAUGGAGGGGGAUAACUACUGGAAACGGUGGCUAAUACCGCACAAGGUCGCAAGACCAAAGAGGGGGACCUUCGGGCCUCUUGCCAUCGGAUGUGCCCAGAUGGGAUUAGCUAGUAGGUGGGGUAACGGCUCACCUAGGGGACGAUCCCUAGCUGGUCUGAGAGGAUGACCAGCCACACUGGAACUGAGACACGGUCCAGACUCCUACGGGAGGCAGCAGUGGGGAAUAUUGCACAAUGGGCGCAAGCCUGAUGCAGCCAUGCCGCGUGUAUGAAGAAGGCCUUCGGGUUGUAAAGUACUUUCUGCGAGGAGGAAGGCGUUGUGGUUAAUAACCACAGCGAUUGACGUUACUCGCACAAGAAGCACCGGCUAACUCCGUGCCAGCAGCCGCGGUAAUACUGAGGGUGCAAGCGUUGAUCGGAAUUACAGGGCAUGAACCGCACGCAGGCGCUCUGUCAACUCCGAGGUCAAAUCCCCGGGCUCNCCCCGGGAACUGCAUCCGAAACUGGACCGCUAGANUCUUGUCCACGGGGGUAGGAUUUCAGGUGUUNNGUCCAGAUGCCUCGACAUCUGGGCGAAUACUCCUNGUCGACGUCGUUCCCUGGAUGAAGAACCANGCUAUCUUAUCNAGU